AUUGAACGCUGGCGGCAUGCUUUACACAUGCAAGUCGAACGGGGUGAAGGGGCGAACUCUUCAUUCAGUGGCGAACGGGUGAGUAAUGCAUCGGAACGUAUCCCGUAGUGGGGAGUAACCCAGCGAAAGCUGGGCUAAUACCGCAUAUGCUCUACGGAGGAAAGUGGGGACCGUGCAAGGGCCUCACGCUAUGGGAGCGGCCGAUGUCCGAUUAGCUAGUUGGUGGGGUAAUGGCCCACCAAGGCGACGAUCGGUAGCUGGUCUGAGAGGAUGAUCAGCCACACUGGGACUGAGACACGGCCCAGACUCCUACGGGAGGCAGCAGUGGGGAAUUUUUGGGACAAGUGGGGGCAACCCGUGAUCCAGCCAUGCCGCGUGCGGGAAGAAGGCC
rnacentral:rRNA from 1 species